rnacentral:rRNA from 1 species
AUGAGGUGGAAACGGACAGAGCUGGCGUAUCUGGUCUGCAUUCACCCGUUUGUUGCUGCGCGUUGGGUUUCUAGCCACCAGACUGGGGUUGGUUGCCCAUCUGUGCAGUGGCUGAUGGGGCAUUUGCAGGCGGAGUGCGCUGAGACGUUCGAGGUAGCUGCGUGAGCUCGGCUUUGAGGCCAGCCCUUCGGGGUCUGGUACCCGGGUCGGGGGAGUGCUGUUUACUUUGGGUGUGCGUGUGCAAUGUUUCGGGUCUUUGUUGGCUCGAGCUGAGGGUCGGUGGCGGUCGCAUGCGACACGUACUGUCAACCGGUUCGGUCCAGCUUGGGCUCUCGUUGUGCGUUCUCGGUGUAAAAGCCGGUCAUCUGUCCGACCCGUCUUGAAACACGGACCAAGGAGUUUAGCGUAUGCGCGAGUCAUUGGGUGUUGAAAACCUAAAGGCGUAAUGAAAGUGAAGGCAUCCUUGCGGAGCUGAUGUGUGAUCCCUGGCACUGCGGUGUUGGGGCGCAACAUAGUCCCGUCUCGAUCGCAUGCGAUGGGGCGGAGACAGAGCGUAUGCGCUGAGACCCGAAAGAUGGUGAACUAUUCCUGAGCAGGAUGAAGCCAGAGGAAACUCUGGUGGAAGUCCGAAGCGAUUCUGACGUGCAAAUCGAUCG